rnacentral:rRNA from 1 species
CCCUACGGGGUGCACAGGAUCGCCACAUUGAGAUUGGACCUACAAUGCCUGAAUCUAUCCUUGGGAUAAUAGGUCUUGCGGUGGCAGGAUAGGGCCUUUUCAUUCCCAUCUAUGCUGCUUUUAUAGGGAGAAAGAAGAGAUCCAGCGAUGUGCGGAGCAGAUCUGUCUGACCUGGAGGAGGAGAGAGAAUCCCGGAAGAAGAGUACUGAAUCAUCCCCUGCAGCGAAGGGCGUACCCAGGGAAAAGAGCAGGCAGUAGACAAUAGAUAUUUAUCAGAUCAAGCCUCAUCAUUAUUCAUUAGUAAUAUGUGAGGUGAAGGAUAUGCUGAGCUCAAAUGAAUUGGCGGGAGGGC